GUUUAUUCAUUUUGUUUGCAGCUCGUCAAAAGUAAUAAACAGACAAAUGGCUUCAGUCAGUAAUUUUGGUGACGGCCCCUGGAACCCUACAGUAGAAAGGAUUCCCAGAAGGACAAAUGAAAGGGGAGAUGCUCCCAGAAUAAACAGAACUGAUGCUGAUGCCAUCAGGCACAAUAAUAUAAUUGGACCUCCACAGAAUCCAGACCGAAUUAAUGUUGUUCCUGUCAGGAUCAUUCGGAACAGACAUUAGAGUCCAGACACAUGUACUAUUCUUUAAAUGAGGUGUAUGGUUCAACCACCUCCAGACCUUCAGCAUCGCCUAAAGAUGAAAGAAC